rnacentral:lncRNA from 10 species
UUUUGGGUCUGGCUUAUCUCACUUAUCAUAAUGUCUUUAAGGCUCAUCCCUGCUCUAGCACAUGAUUUUCUUCUUUUUCAUGGCUGAAUAAUAUUUCAUUGCACGUAUAUGUCACGUACUCUUUAUCAAUUGAUCUGUUGAUGGGCAUAUCAACAGAUGGUUGUUUCCGUAUUUUGGCUAUUGUGAAUAGCGUUUCAAUGGACAUGAAAAUGCAGGUAUCUCUUAUCUUCAUGUGUUUUUAAUAGGUCUGUAUCUCACAAAUAGUAGUCCAUCCUUUUGGCAAUAUAAUUCAAUUAUUAAAUGAAUAUAAUCAGAUUUAUGGUUUUACAGACUCCUCUCUAUUAAAAUGUCCACCUUAGGUUACCUAGCUUGCAAUUUGGGCAUUAAACCAACUUUCCAGAGAACUAAACUCACUCUGGGACUAUGCGAGAUGGCGCAGGCCCUGUGAUGGAUGAUCUGCAAGGGUCAGUGGCACAUGGUGCUACCUCACCAGCCUCCAAGGGGUGUAUUUCAUCAGCACAGUAAAUAAAAAUAUCACUCUGGAAGGGAUGUUUUGAGACUGAGUAAAUAUUUGCCAGCAGGGCCUCGGCCCCUUCAGGCAGAGAGAGACCUGGGGCAUUCAGCUGCAAACAUGUCUCUAUUAAGAGCUAAGGCUUGGGGCCCAGAAUCGGGAUAAGCUGAAUUGGAAAAUCCAGCAAUAGGAAGAAGAGAUGGCUGCUGCUGUUCCUGGAUCUAGAAAGGAGAGAAGCUACUCAGGGAGCUCUUGAUCCUAUGCUCAGGGGGAAACAUACCAGGAAAUUACAGAACUUUGAAUAUAUCAUCUCAUUCCUUCCUGGCCCACAAGGUUUUUGCUGAGAAGUCUCCUGACAUCCUUAUGGGUCUGGAAAUAACUGGGAAAGAAAAGCCUUGUGGAAAGAAGACAUCUCCAGGGAAAACAUGCUGCUUCUUCAAAGACUCCAAUUUCAGAUGGCAAAAUGCAUGGAAGCUGAGAUGGACCUUCUGGAGUUUUCGAUAAACCACUGUAGCUCAGUCAGAGGUCCAAUUAUGAUGAUACCCACACAGCCCGGUCCUCCCACAGCCUACAUCCAAUCCUCUGAGGAAGCUGAGUGGCACUGCCUUUAUUCACCACAGAUGCUACAGAAUCAGCAGGAAGGAAGACUGUGAAAAGGAAAAAUGCACUCUUUUAAGGGAAUUGACGUGAAAAGAAUGGAAACAUAAAAAGGAAAACGGAGACCUUUCAUGAACAAAGUAGAAUUCCUUGGAAAUGUGGUGCAGGUUGACAUUAUGUGUGGUGAAGCCUUUCCAACCCUCCCUGCAAGCAAUAAGUCACUUCCUCUUUUAUCCUGCAUAAUUUUGUUGACAUGCACUACGGCCAACUCAAUACAGCAACUUCUAGAAAGAAACUUGAUUCCACCACUGGGAACUGUGGUCUCAAACCUUCAUGCCCUGUGAACAGCUCAACUUCUUCGAACUGCCAACAUAUUCACCAACAGAAACCAGGAUCUUCCAAAGGGAGUCCAUGUCUUUCUAUCUAGAUCUAACUAAAGGACCAAUUCACCGAAAAAGUAAUAAUCUACUUUACACAUGGUGACUAUAGUUAAUAUCAAUACAUUGUGUACUUGAAACUUGCUGCAAGAGUAACCUGACAGGUUCUCACUACAAAAAAAUGAUAGGUAUGUGAGAUGAUAAAUAUGUUAAUUAGCUUGACUUAACCAUUUCACAAUGUAUACAUAUCAAAACAUCACUUUAUAGUCUAUACAUAUGUACUAUUUUCAUUUGUAAAUUGUACUGAAUAAAACAAAAAAUGUACUUUAGGAGGCCGAGGCGAGCGGAUCACGAGGUCAGGAGAUGCAGACCAUCUGGCUAAAGAUGGAGACCAUCUGGCUAACACGGUGAAACCCCGUCUUUACUAAAAAUACAAGAGAAAAUUAGCCGGGCGUGGUGGCAGGUGCCUGUAGUCCCAGCUACUCGGGAGACUGAGGCAGGAGAAUGGCGUGAACCCAGGAGGCGGAGCUUGCAGUGAGCCGUGAUCGCGCCACUGCACUCCAGCCUGGGCGACAGAGCGAGACAAGACUCCGUCUCAAGAAAAAAAAAAAGGUAAAUUUCAUCAACAAAUAAUCAUUAUGAAAUUUGUAAAAAUAAUAUACCUUUUGUUUUAAGGGGAAAAAUCAAGAUUUUAAACUAUAAAAUAGUUUCUGAAACUUAUACCUAGUAGAUGACACUGAUGCUUCACAACUAUCAAACUUAAUAUAUUUACUGGUUCAGAGGAAAAUUAGAAAAAUAAAGCCCCCAAGAGAGGCAUCAGUUGCUUCCUAGUCACAAUAUCACAUCUAGAACAGAUCACAACCCAAAUCAAAAAUGAAGUCCCUGCUAUCCCUGUAAGAGCCAAGUCACAUUACCACUUCUAUAAUUCCGCCUCUACUACUUAUCUUAAGCACUGUUGGAAUUGUUCUGAGAACAAUCGGCCUUAAUUAGAUCACUAGUACUCAGUGUUGAAGUCUCUGGUCAGCACUAAUUGUUACAAAUUUAAUUAUAAGACAGAGAGUACAAGUUGUAAUUCAGACCCCUGGAGCUCUCUGUCCCUGGAAUCUCGGAAGAUGUCUUCUUCCCUGAGUUUAACUUUAGGUGUGAGUAACCCUCAAUGAUUCCCCUUUCGGGCAGACUGUUCCAGGAUCACAGAUUAAAUCAUGUCUUAGGCUGAAUGUAACAAAGAUGUCCAAAAAGAAAAUUGCCUAUGGCAUAGAAAAUAUUCAGAAACCAAUGGUGGUCUAUUUAUAAAAGAUUAGUGUAUAGGGAAAUUGCACAAUUCUAUGGUAGAAUAAAAAUAACUAGAAGAUAUCAUUAUUCUUAGUAUUUCAUUAUAUCCCCAUCUUAUUCCAAGCCUGAUUUAAAAUAACCAGGCACUGACACCUGGUGAGUGCUUGCACUGGGUCUUGGUACCUUUCAUGUUAUCUCACUUAUCCUAACAACCUGUUAUGUCGUGUAAUAACAAUAACAUCAAGGCUGCCUGAGAUUACAUUGAAUAUUACACAGCAGCAAUGUCAGUAUUGAAACUCACAGCUGUUGGAAUGUGAUCCAUUACCCCACAAUGCAUUCAGUUUACUGGGAAACUCAUUGCAUGAGAAACUUGGGUACGUCUAUUUCUGCUGGUCUGAAGCUGAUUUAGGUAGCAGAAACACAAGAUAAGGGACCAAAAUGACUUGUUAUGAAUCUACUCUGGCAAUGAUGCAAGUGGAAUCUACUCUAACAAUGAUGCAAUCACUCAAAACAUUUUGAAUUUGUGUGUGUGUGUGUAUGUAUGCGUGCAUACAAGUGCUUUUACAGGCAAUGAACAAGCCACAAACUGAAAAGCCAAUCUUACUACUUUACUGUCAAAACUUAAACUUUUUCCUUGUUUUAGUGCCAAGCAAGACAAUUCAACUGGAACAUAUAUUUUCUCCCCUAGAAGUUGUCUCUAAAUUAUUUCUAACUAUUUCCACAUAUUCAAAAGAAAGUACCACAGGCUAGGAUGGUAAUUGCAAGAAGAAACUCAGAAAAUAAUUCAAACAAUAACAAUAUCAGUUGAAUAAGUAAUUAGCAUUCUAGUAUGACUAAUUUGAAGGAUGAUACUUUUUAAAAUAUAAAAGUUCUGUUGUAUUGGAGGUUUUUGAAAAUAUAUUAUGUUUAAUAAUACUGUUCUAUUGAUUCUAUGAGUUUAAUAAAAUUUUAAUUCAAAUGCAAAGAAUACUAUGUCUAAAGUCUGAUAAAAUAAUAGUACAAUUGUAAAGAUGACUAGAGAGAGGUUUUUUACUAUAACAAGCGUUAUCCUGGGUUUUGCCUUUGAAAUAUUUGCUUUUAUGACUAAUAAAUCUUGACUAUCAUUUAAUGAAAAGCAAGUAUCUGCUACUGGUAGACCAUAAAUAACUAAGUAUGUAUUUAUGCCAUAUUUGCAAUUUUUGAUUCUAAUCAUAAAAUAAUUUAGGUAAAAUUGUUGUAAGGAACAUGGAGAAAAGGAGGAAACUGAGAUGCAUAUUCUGGUGCAGAAUUUGCUCCCAUAAAUACACACCCUCUUCUGAUUCCCUAAGAAAGUCAGUCAUAAUGAAUCAUAGAUUUUUUUUUCACCUAGUCCAGGUAGCCUCACAAUUAUUUUCAACAUAGCACCCCCAGCUUGCACUGUUAAUAGAUUAAAGUUGGUGCUAAAGAAGAAGCUCACUUUCUAUCUCAAGAAAUGGCACAAGGUUGUCAUUUGCCAUAGGGAAGAAAUGGACAUCCCGAGGUAAUUCAGGUUAUCAGUUUGCACUCCCUCCACCAACACUACAUGUGAACCAAUUUAGAGAGACAUUGCAUCCUAUUCUUAGAGGAAGGGCUAGAGAAGAGCACCAGCAUUUAUUGAAUAAUUAUUACCUUUAGUCAUUAGAAAAACUCUUGGAGCUAGAGAUUUCUUUUCUGUAUUUCAGAUGUGAGGAAAAUGAGGUGCCAAGAUUUUAAGUAACUUCUCUUAGGUCACAGAGCUGGUGACUAGUAUGAAUAUAUACAGUGAUUUUUCCUCAACUAAAUGGUAUGUCAUUGUAAUCUGCAAAUAUAAAAGCUAUUGAUGUAUGUCUAUUAAUUUUAUACUCAUCCAUCUUACUGGAUUUUAUUACAGUUUUAUAUUUUUUCUUGAUUAGUUUUAGGUUUUCUAUGUCUACAAUAAUAGCAGUUCACAUAAUGAUAAUUUUGCCUUACUCUUUCCAAAUUUUAUGUCUCUAAUUUCUGUCUUUUGUCUAAUUGCCAUUGGCUUGUUUCUCUGAACAGUGUUAAAUAACAGCACUGACAGUACAUAUCCUUGCCUUGUCCCAAGAGAUUAUAAAGAAACAUUGUUGCUUCCCUCAUCAAAGUUGAUGUCGGCUUGGAGGUUGAGACAGAUUUUAAAAAUCAAUUUAAGAAUAUUUUAUUUAAAGUAAAUAAUAUUUUAAUCCAGAAUGUACACUGACUUUUUAACAGUCUUAUUGAGGUAUAAUUCAUGUACCAUGCAAUCAACCCAUUUGAAGAAUACGAUUUUAGAAUAUCCAGAGUCAUGCAACCAUCACCACAAUCUAAAUUCAGAAUGUUUUUAUCACCCCAAAAGGAAACUCCAGACCCAUUACUUUCCUCACUCCUCAUCCUACCCUCCUACCCUAGGCAACCAUUGAUCUACUUUUGUUUCACUAGAUCUACCUGUUCUGGAUAUUUCAUAUGGACACAAUCAGACAAUAUGUGGUCUAUGGCAACUGGCUUACCUUUAACUUUUUCAUUGCUUUUCUAAAACUUUUGGAGAUGUUUAUGCGAUUCACCUUAGAUCUAUAACAAAGAUGAAGUAUGUCAAUAUAUUUUCUAAUAUAGAACGACCCUCACGUUCUUGAAAUGACUUCUUUUAAUUGCCUACUAAGUUGUCUUUGCUAAUAAUUUAUUUCUGAUUUUUACACCAAUAUUGUGCUGUAGAUUGUCUUCUGUGCUUUUUGUGUACUACUUCAUAGAAUAAAUUUAGAAGCUUUCUUUCUUCACUUAGCCUCUGGAACAAUUUAAAUGGCAUCAAAUUUAUCCUCUAUGAAAUUGCCUGGACAGAGUCCUUUUUAGAAAAUUAGGUCUUUGACAACUUUAUUUCUUCUAUGUUAAUUAGUCUUUCAUAUUUUUCUCCCCUUUCCGGAAUCUGUUUUAAUACAUUUUAUUCUCCUAGAAAACAAUCCACUUUCAAAUAUUUCGGAUAUAUUUGCAUAGAGUUUUGGAAACCAGGCUCCUAUGCUUCAUUUAAUUUCAUCUGCCACCGUGGUUAUUUUCUUUCUUGUUUUUAAAUUUAUACAUUUGUGUCUUCUCCCAUUUUCUUGCAUAGUUAGCUGGCAUUUAUCUCCUGUAAUAUUUAUUUUGUAAGACCCAUCUUUUGGAUAUACAUAUAGCGUUACCAUUUUUCAGUUUUCUAAUUCAUUGACUUCUACCUUUACCUUUACUAAUUCCUUAUUUCUGUUUUCCUUUCGGUCCUUUUCUAUCUCCUUUAGUUACAUGUUUAAUUCAUUUAUAGUCAUGCUUUCUUAUUCAUUAAUAUAAGUUUACAGGCUAUGAUUUAUCCUCCUAUUCAUUAACAUAAGCUUGUAGACUAUAAUUUAUCCUCUGACUGUAAAUCCUAUGUGCUGUUAUGUAGUAUUUUCCUUAUUCUUAUGUUCUGUUAUUUAUGUUUAUAAGUUGUUUAAGAAAAGGUUUCUAAAUAUCUAGUAGUGGGGCUUUUUGACUAUCCGAUUUUAUUAAAUUUGAGUUUAUUGCAUUUAUAUUACACAGUUUUGUCUAUAUCAUUAUAUGAUAGUUAUUCAUGUUUUCUUUGUGGCAUAUGAUAUGGUCAUUCCUUUUACUAUCCUACUGAUAGUUAAAAAGUAGGCAUAUUCUUUAUUUUUAAGAUACAAAGUUCAGUAUGUAGCAAUUAAAUCUACCUUAUAAAUCUACCUCGUACUUAUAUUUUUUAAUACUAAGUUAUUAUCGUCUGCUCUUUUUUGUCCCCUUGCUUUGUUACAAACCAAAAAAGGUAUUCACCUGUUAUAACUAACAUUUUUCUAUUUCCCUAGCAUUAUACAGCAUAAUAUAUCUAUUAGUCUAGCAUCAUAUAUCUCUAGCAUUUUCUGUAUAAAUGUUGAUUCUUUAUUAUUUAGUGCCUAUUAUUUACAACUAUUGUAUAUUUAUUGGAAAUUGUACAUAUUAGUAUUAUUGGUACCUUUCUUUAGGUGUGUUUAUCUUUUGCUGUAAUUUAUAUUUAAAUAAACCCAAUUCUCAUUGUCAGU